ACUCCUACGGGAGGCAGCAGUGGGGAAUCUUGGACAAUGGGGGCAACCCUGAUCCAGCCAUGCCGCGUGAGUGAAGAAGGCCUUAGGGUCGUAAAGCUCUUUCGCCUGUGAAGAUAAUGACGGUAGCAGGUAAAGAAACCCGGCUAACUCCGUGCCAGCAGCCGCGGUAAUACGGGAGGGGGUUAGCGUUGUUCGGAAUUACUGGGCGUAAAGCGCGCGUAGGCGGACCAGAAAGUUGGGGGUGAAAUCCCGGGGCUCAACCCCGGAACUGCCUCCAAAACUCCUGGUCUUGAGUUCGAGAGAGGUGAGUGGAAUUCCGAGUGUAGAGGUGAAAUUCGUAGAUAUUCGGAGGAACACCAGUGGCGAAGGCGGCUCACUGGCUCGAUACUGACGCUGAGGUGCGAAAGUGUGGGAGCAAACAGGAUUAGAUACCCUGGUAGGACAGUG
rnacentral:rRNA from 1 species